GGCGGCGGCGGCGGCGCCGCUGAGCGCCGGGAGAGCCCUGAGGGGCGCCGGGGGCGUCCCGCUCCCCUUGCCCUCCCUCGCACCCCGCUGCCCCCAGCGUCCCCCCGCGCCCGCCCGCGCCGCGCCCUCCAUGGUCACGGGCGGCCCCCGCGGCCUCGCAGCGCAGCCGUUCGGGCGGGAGCCGGCGCGGGAGCAGCGGCCGCAGCUGAGUGAGCAGUGUGGGAUGGAGCACCUGAUGCUGCCCCGUUGCCCAACACUGGGAUGCUGCUCCAGGAGGAGCCCGUGGGAGCAUCGGGAAUACUCCUCAGCCUUAAUAAGGAUUGAUUGUUUACUCCUCACCCUCGUCCCGGUUUGGUAUUAAUCGGAACAAGCUUUGACCGUCGCCUUGGGGAGGUGAAGAGGUGAAUGAACGUCCCUUUUAAGGGGGCACCACUGGAAGAACCUUUAUGGGCUCCUGAUGACAUGCAGGUGGACGAUUGACUUAUGAUAUUUAAGGUAGGAAGAA